rnacentral:rRNA from 1 species
ACUUAGUGGCAGACGGGUGAGUAACAUGUGGGUAUCUACCCUUUGGCCUGGAAUAACACGAGGAAACUUGUGCUAAUACCGGAUAAGUCUUUACGGAGAAAGCUUUAUGCACCAUUGGAUGAGCCCGCACUUGAUUAGUUUGUUGGUAGGGUAAUGGCCUACCAAGACUAUGAUCAAUAGCUGAUUUGAGAGGAUGAUCAGCCACAUUGGGACUGAGACACGGCCCAAACUCCUACGGGAGGCAGCAGUGGGGAAUCUUGCACAAUGGAGGAAACUCUGAUGCAGCGAUGCCGCGUGAGUGAAGAAGGCCUUUGGGUUGUAAAGCUCUUUCGUCGGGGAAGAAAAUGACUGUACCCGAAUAAGAAGGUCCGGCUAACUUCGUGCCAGCAGCCGCGGUAAUACGAAGGGACCUAGCGUAGUUCGGAAUUACUGGGCUUAAAGAGUUCGUAGGUGGUUGAAAAAGUUGGUGGUGAAAUCCCAGAGCUUAACUCUGGAACUGCCAUCAAAACUUUUCAGCUAGAGUAUGAUAGAGGAAAGC